rnacentral:rRNA from 1 species
GGCCAGACUCCUACGGGAGGCAGCAGUGGGGAAUAUUGCACAGUGGGGGAAACCCUGAUGCAGCGACGCCGCGUGAGCGAUGAAGUAUUUCGGUAUGUAAAGCUCUAUCAGCAGGGAAGAAAAUGACGGUACCUGACUAAGAAGCCCCGGCUAACUCCGUGCCAGCAGCCGCGGUAAUACGGAGGAUCCGAGCGUUAUCCGGAUUCACUGGGUGUAAAGGGAGCGUAGACGGCGACGCAAGUCUGGAGUGAAAGCCCGGGGCCCAACCCCGGGACUGCUCUGGAAACUGCGGCGCUGGAGUACGGGAGGGGCAGGCGGAAUUCCUGGUGUAGCGGUGAAAUGCGUAGAUAUCAGGAGGAACACCAGUGGCGAAGGCGGCCUGCUGGACGAUGACUGACGUUGAGGCUCGAAAGCGUGGGGAGCAAACAGGAUUAGAUCCCCCCGUA